UGUCCAGGGAUGGGAUUCGAACCCACAGUGUUGCGCUUACCAGGCAGAUGCUAUAUCCACUAGGCUACCCAGAAC
rnacentral:tRNA from 1 species